ensembl:lncRNA
CAAUGUGGAGGCUAUAUACAGGGGAUACCAGUACAGAGUCAAUGUGGAGGCUAUAUACAGGGGCUACCGGUACAGAGUCAAUGUGGAGGCUAUAUACAGGGGGUACCGGUACAGAGUCAAUGUGGAGGCUAUAUACAGGGGAUACCGGUACAGAGUCAAUGUGGAGGCUAUAUACAGGGGGUACCAGUACAGAGUCAAUGUGGAGGCUAUAUACAGGGGGUACCGGUACAGAGUCAAUGUGGAGGCUAUAUACAGGGGGUACCAGUACAGAGUCAAUGUGGAGGCUAUAUACAGGGGGUACCGGUACAGAGUCAAUGUGGAGGCUAUAUACAGGGGGUACCGGUACAGAGUCAAUGUGGAGGCUAUAUACAGGGGGUACCGGUACAGAGUCAAUGCGGAGGCUAUAUACAGGGGGUACCGGUACAGAGUCAAUGCGGAGGCUAUAUACAGUGGGUACCGGUACAGAGUCAAUGUGGAGGCUAUAUACAGGGGGUACUGGUACAGAGUCAAUGUGGAGGCUAUAUACAGUGGGUACCGGUACAGAGUCAAUGUGGAGGCUAUAUACAGGGGGUACCGGUACAGAGUCAAUGUGGAGGCUAUAUACAGUGGGUACCGGUACAGAGUCAAUGUGGAGGCUAUAUACAGGGGGUACCGGUACAUAGUCAAUGUGGAGGCUAUAUACAGGGGGUACCGGUACAUAGUCAAUGUGGAGGCUAUAUACAGGGGGUACCGGUACAGAGUCAAUGUGGAGGCUAUAUACAGGGGUACUGGUACAGAGUCAAUGUGGAGGCUAUAUACAGGGGGUACCGGUACAGAGUCAAUGUGGAGGCUAUAUACAGGGGGUACCGGUGUCAAGGUAAUUGAGGUAAUAUGUAUAUGUGGGUAGAGUUAUUAAAGUGACAAUGCAUAGAUAAUAACAGGGAGUAGCAGGAGUAUGGGGG